GGUUCCCUAGAGCACAUUACUUGGGCUUGUGUCUAGUGUAUCUCCAGUCAGGGAGACUCCACAGCCUCUCUGGGCAAUCUGUUUCAGUCACCCACACAGUAAAGAAGAUUUUCCUCAUGUUCAGGUGGAGGUUCCUGUGCAUCACUUUCUGCCCAUUGCCUCCUGUCCUACUGCUCAGCACCAGUGAGCAGAGCCUGGCUGCAUCCUCCUGGCACCUCCCUUCAGACACUCACAGCCAUGGAUGAGCUCCCCUCUCAGUGCCUCUUCUCGGGGCUGAACAGGCCCAGCUCCCUCUGCCUUUCCUCCUAAGAGAUGCUCCAGUGCCUCAAUCCCCUUUGUUACCCUCCACUGGAGCCACUCCAGGAGCUCCAUGUCUCUCUUGUCCUGAGGGGCCCAGGACUGGACACAGCAGUCCAGAUGUGCCUCACCAGGGCUGGGCAGAGGGGCAGGAUCACCUCCCCUGGCCUGCUGGCAAUGCCCUUCCUCAUGCACCCCGGGAUUCCAUGGCCUUCUUGGCCACAAGGACAGGCUGCUGGCUCAUGGAUGGCUCGUUGUCCACCAGGACCCCCAGGUCCUUCUCCACAGGAGGUCAGCCCCCAGCGUGUAGUGGUGCAGAACCCUGCAUUUCCUUUUGUGGAAUUCCAGAAGGUUCCUCCCUGCCCAUCUGCCCAGCUUGUUGAGGCCCUUCCAAAGGGCUGCACAGCACUCUGGGGUAUUGGCCUCUCCUCCCAGCUUUGUGUCAUCAGUGAACUUGCUGAGGACACAUCUGCCCCUUCAUCCAGGUCAUUGAUGAACAAGUUAAACAACAGCUCAAUUCAAGCUCAGUACUGAAGCUUGGAGGACACCACUGGUGACAGGCCUCAAACUAGAUCCUGUGCUGCUGAGUGUGACCCUCUGGGACCUGCUGUUCAGCCAGUGCUCAGUCCACCUCACCAUCCAUUCGUCCAGCCUGCUCCUCCUGAGCUUGACUAUCAGGAUGUUGUGAGAGACAGUGUCAUAUGGAAAAAAAAAAUUGUUAACCAAAAGCUAUUUUUAAAGCAUGUAAUGACGAAUCCAGUUGCUUUGAAGUCCAUGUGGUAUUUUAUGCAAUGACACAGAACUGCAUUCUGCUUGGCUUGCAAACAGAAAUCCAGCUGUCUUGCUUUUUUCUUUUCUUUUAAUGCCAUUAGACAAAAUAAAUCCAUUGCUUUUAAAUUAAGGAAAGAAAGAUAAUGGUUCUGGAAUACAGAGGACUAUUGAAACAAACAUGUCAUUACAGUGUGUGAAGCUUUUAAGCUUAGAAAUGGAUAAUAAUUGAUGAAAAGGAUGUCAUCAAAACCAAACCAAAGCACAACUAAAUGAAAAAAAGCCCCAGCUUUCAAACUCUUUACAGUUCUUUUUGAAGCCUUACAUUUCCUGUAGAUUUGUGUUUUCCUGAUUACUUCAGUAAACUUUAUGGGUCAUAAGGUAGAGAUACAAAACAUAACAAAUUAAAGCAUACCAAAACUAUUCUCUUUUAUUAAUUUCAGGUAUGGCCUUCUGCUAGAAAAGGUGAGCUUCCAGAGUGCUUCAUGAACAAAUUUCCACCAGAGGCAUCCAUAAUCAAAAAGAUGCUUUCAACAGACCCUUCGGGAAGAAUCACUAUAUCUCAUUUACUCGACCUUGUUAAGUCUGUUGAUGAAGAGAAGGAAGUUAGAAAUUAUUCUUAUUAAAUGUCCUUUCAUACUGUGUUUAAAUCCAGAGUUUGAUGAAUUUAUUACAGUUGAUGAAAUGACAACAGA